rnacentral:rRNA from 1 species
GACGUAGGGUCCAAGCGUUAUCCGGAUUUACUGGGCGUAAAGCGCGCGUAGGCGGUCUGUUAAGUGCACAAGUGAAAGCUCCGGGCUCAACUCGGAAAUUGCUUUGCAUACUGGCAGGCUGGAGGGACGCAGAGGUCUGUGGAAUUCCUGGUGUAACGGUGAAAUGUGUUGAUAUCAGGAGGAACACCGGUGGCGAAGGCGGAUCUCUGGGCCAUUACUGACGCUGAGGAGCGAAAGCGUGGGGAGCGAACAGG